rnacentral:rRNA from 1 species
AGGCUGUCUCCACCCGAGACUCAGUGAAAUUGAACUCGCUGUGAAGAUGCAGUGUACCCGCGGCAAGACGGAAAGACCCCGUGAACCUUUACUAUAGCUUGACACUGAACAUUGAGCCUUGAUGUGUAGGAUAGGUGGGAGGCUUUGAAGUGUGGACGCCAGUCUGCAUGGAGCCGACCUUGAAAUACCACCCUUUAAUGUUUGAUGUUCUAACGUUGACCCGUAAUCCGGGUUGCGGACAGUGUCUGGUGGGUAGUUUGACUGGGGCGGUCUCCUCCUAAAGAGUAACGGAGGAGCACGAAGGUUGGCUAAUCCUGGUCGGACAUCAGGAGGUUAGUGCAAUGGCAUAAGCCAGCUUGACUGCGAGCGUGACGGCGCGAGCAGGUGCGAAAGCAGGUCAUAGUGAUCCGGUGGUUCUGAAUGGAAGGGCCAUCGCUCAACGGAUAAAAGGUACUCCGGGGAUAACAGGCUGAUACCGCCCAAGAGUUCAUAUCGACGGCGGUGUUUGGCACCUCGAUGUCGGCUCAUCACAUCCUGGGGCUGAAGUAGGUCCCAAGGGUAUGGCUGUUCGCCAUUUAAAGUGGUACGCGAGCUGGGUUUAGAACGUCGUGAGACAGUUCGGUCCCUAUCUGCCGUGGGCGCUGGAGAACUGAGGGGGGCUGCUCCUAGUACGAGAGGACCGGAGUGGACGCAUCACUGGUGUUCGGGUUGUCAUGCCAAUGGCACUGCCCGGUAGCUAAAUGCGGAAGAGAUAAGUGCUGAAAGCAUCUAAGCACGAAACUUGCCCCGAGAUGAGUUCUCCCUGACUCCUUGAGAGUCCUGAAGGAACGUUGAAGACGACGACGUUGAUAGGCCGGGUGUGUAAGCGCAGCGAUGCGUUGAGCUAACCGGUACUAAUGAACCGUGAGG